AAUAUGAAAGUUCAGAAAGUUCAGAUUCGUCGAUGGCACUAGCUCUAAACACUAAGAGCAUCUCCAAUGCUCAACUCUAUUUUUUCCUCUAUUUUUGAGUUGAUUUUAUUUUAGAGAAAAUAUAGUUGAUUUUGCUGUAUUGUAUGCCUCUAAAAUAGAGGAAAAAUGUAGAUAUAUUUUUCUCUAUUUUAGAGAAUUACAAUGGAGCAAAAUCAACUAUAUUUCCUCUAAAAUAGAGUUAGUCAUUGAGAAUGGUCUAAGUAAUUCUGAGUGAAACGUGACGUCUAUGGGUAAAAUAUUCUUGAUUUGAUU
rnacentral:sRNA from 1 species